rnacentral:rRNA from 1 species
UACGAAGGGUGCAAGCGUUACUCGGAAUUACUGGGCGUAAAGCGUGCGUAGGUGGUUUGUUAAGUCUGCUGUGAAAGCCCCGGGCUCAACCUGGGAAUGGCAGUGGAUACUGGCAAGCUAGAGUGCGGUAGAGGGUAGUGGAAUUCCCGGUGUAGCGGUGAAAUGCGUAGAGAUCGGGAGGAACACCAGUGGCGAAGGCGGCUCGCUGGGACGGUACUGACGCUAAGGCGCGAAAGCGUGGGGAGCGAACAGG